rnacentral:rRNA from 1 species
UGGCCCGUCGGGACCAACCGGCGUUAGGGAAUUCGGCAAGUUAGUCCCGUACCUUCGGAAGAAGGGAUGCCUGCUCUUGACCGAGCAGGUCGCAGUGACUCGGACGCUCCGACUGUCUAGUAACAACAUAGGUGACCGCAAAUCCGCAAGGACUCGUACGGUCACUGAAUCCUGCCCAGUGCAGGUAUCUGAACACCUCGUACAAGAGGACGAAGGACCUGUUAACGGCGGGGGUAACUAUGACCCUCUUAAGGUAGCGUAGUACCUUGCCGCUUCAGUAGCGGCUUGCAUGAAUGGAUCAACGAGAGCGUCACUGUCCCAACGCUGGACCCGGUGAACUGUACGUUCCAGUGCGGAGUCUGGAGACCCCCAAGGGGAAGCGAAGACCCUAUAGAGCUUUACUGCAGGCUGUCGCUGAGACAUGGUCGCUGAUGUGCAGCAUAGGUAGGAGCCAUCACACAGGUAUCCGCGCCAGCGGAUCACCGAGGCAAUCAUGAAAUACUACCCGUCAGUGACUGUGACUCUCACUCCGGGAGGAAAACACCGGUAGCCGGGCAGUUUGACUGGGGCGGUACGCGCUCGAAAAGAUAUCGAGCGCGCCCAAAGGUCUCCUCACGUGAGUCGGAAACUCACAGACGAGCGCAAGAGCACACGGAGGCCUGACAGUGAUCUUCCCAACGAGGAUCGCUGACGCGAAAGCGUGGUCUAGCGAACCAACGAGGUUCAGAGAUGGGACCCGUUGAUGACAGAAAAGCUACCUUAGGGAUAACAGAGUCGUCACUCGCAAGAGCACAUAUCGACCGAGUGGCUUGCUACCUCGAUGUCGGUUCCCUCCAUCCUGCCUGUGCAGACGCAGGCAAGGGUGAGGUUGUUCGCCUAUUAAAGGAGGUCGUGAGCUGGGUUUAGACCGUCGUGAGACAGGUCGGCUGCUAUCUAUUGGGGGUGUAAGGUACUUGCGAGGAACGCUCGUAUAGUACGAGAGGAACUACGAGUGGGUGCCACUGGUGUAUCGGUUGUCCGACAGGGCAGUCGCCGAGCAGCCACGCACCACAGGGUAAGAGCUGAAUGCAUCUAAGCUCGAAACCUCCCUCAAAAAGAAGUACCAUUGAGGAUCCUUCUAGAAGAGAAGGUAGAUAGACUCGGGGUGUACGCAUCGAGGCAACGAGAUGUUGAGCCCGCGAGCACUAACAAUCCAAGCCAUAAUC